rnacentral:tRNA from 1 species
GCUCCGUUGGUCUAGUGGUAUGAUUCUCGCUUAGGGCUAACCCUAAGUACUCAUUGCAGUUUGCGAGAGGUCCCGUGUUCGAACCACGGAUGGAGCC